rnacentral:rRNA from 1 species
UACGUAGGGUGCGAGCGUUAAUCGGAAUUACUGGGCGUAAAGCGUGCGCAGGCGGUGAUGUAAGACAGAUGUGAAAUCCCCGGGCUCAACCUGGGAACUGCAUCUGUGACUGCAUCGCUGGAGUACGGUAGAGGGGGAUGGAAUUCCGCGUGUAGCAGUGAAAUGCGUAGAUAUGCGGAGGAACACCGAUGGCGAAGGCAAUCCCCUGGACCUGUACUGACGCUCAUGCACGAAAGCGUGGGGAGCAAACAGG